rnacentral:rRNA from 1 species
CCUGCCUUGGAGUGGGGAAUAACAGCUGGAAACAGCUGCUAAUACCGCAUAAUAUGUCUGUGUCGCAUGGCACUGGACAUCAAAGAUUUAUCGCUCUGAGAUGGACUCGCGUCUGAUUAGCUAGUUGGCGGGGUAACGGCCCACCAAGGCGAUGAUCAGUAGCCGGACUGAGAGGUUGGCCGGCCACAUUGGGACUGAGACACGGACCAGACUCCUACGGGAGGCAGCAG